rnacentral:rRNA from 1 species
UGCGUAGGCGGCGCGGUAAGUCGGGUGUGAAAUCUCGGAGCUUAACUCCGAAACUGCAUUCGAUACUGCCGUGCUUGAGGGCUCGAGAGGGACACGGAAUUCCGGGUGGAGUGGUGAAAUGCGUAGAGAUCCGGAGGAACACCGAAGGCGAAGGCAGUGUCCUGGCGAGUGACUGACGCUGAGGUGCGAAAGCUAGGGGAGCGAACG